UGAACAUGUAACAUUCCUUUAACACUAAGCAUUUACCUCCGUACACCAGGUUUCACACAGUAUCUUUUCAUGUUGUGCAGAUGGGAGGCCCUGACUGAGUGAACGGGACGCCCUACGUGAGACAAACACGUUAGAAGCAAUAUGAGCUCUUCAACAGUCACUCCAAAGUGCUCUACAGCCUUCACUGCCUGAACAGAUGAGAGAGCAUAAGAGACAGACAGACAGAUCUCCACUGUGAGCCAGCUCUGGGUGAACUGAUCCAGAGAGAGUCAACCCUGUGCCCAGACCUGCCCUCCUGAGGGAAAAAUACAUGGAUUUUCAUGUCCUUUUUCAAAAUGUUUCAAUUUAUUUUUUUCUUAUUAUUAUUUUCG